AUACGUAGGGAGCGAGCGUUGUCCGGAAUUACUGGGCGUAAAGGGCGCGUAGGCGGCGCUUCAAGUCGUCUGUCAAAUGGGAGGGCUUAACCCUUUUUCGCAGACGAAACUGGAGAGCUUGAGAAGCAGAGAGGCAAACAGAAUUCCUGGUGUAGCGGUGAAAUGCGUAGAUAUCAGGAAGAAUACCAGUGGCGAAGGCGGUUUGCUGGCUGCAUACUGACGCUGAAGCGCGAAAGCCAGGGGGGCAAACGGGAUUAGAUACCCCGGUAGUCCUGGCAGUAAACGAUGUAUGCUGGGUGUGAGACUAGCGAUAGUUUCGUGCCGAAGUUAACGCGAUAAGCAUACCGCCUGGGGAGUACGGUCGCAAGAUUGAAACUCAAAGGAAUUGACGGGG
rnacentral:rRNA from 1 species